UUCGAUAAAAGCAAUUUCAUUCUUCCGCGUCUUCGAGCGACUUAGAUACCAAAGAGAAAGUACUUCUCUUCAAAAACUUUAGUCUUUCAAUGGCUGUUACUCCAGUAAUUCUCAUAAUCACCCUGUUGACAAGCGGUAUGGCUGCUGAAGACGAACAUAGUGUUGACGUUUCAGGGAUGUAACCUGCAACAAGUGCCAACGCAAGCAGCUUAGAGAAGCGCUCCUCUUCCCGCUUUGAUUGUAGACGAGCAACAUUCGCCAGAACCACCCUGUAUGACUAUCUCUAUAGGUAUAAUUGUAUUCCAAGAGGAUGGGAAUCAUUUUUCAAUAGCCGUAAUGUUCAACGAGAUCUACGCGAAAUUUCAAAUGCUCUUGCAGGCGAUGUAGGACGGUAUAGGAUACAGCCUGAACUGGCCAGUAUAUUUAACGCUUUCGCUGUUACCCUCCGAGACGUAAAAGUUGUUAUUUUAGGUCAGGAUCCAACACCUCAGCCAAACCAAGCAACAGGCUUUGCCUUUAGUCUGGUGCGAGGUGUGGAUCCGUAUCAAGUUCCCGCUGUCUUUAACAUGCUCGUGGAGUUGGGGUGGGAAGGAUUCGACGUUGGUCUGUCAAACGGGGAUUUAACGCCUUGGGUUCGCCAAGGAGUCUUACUUCUCAAUGCAGCAUUAACUGUCCGACAAAGAUCCGCAGGGUCUCAUCAACAAGUAUGGGCCGUCUUCACGCAAUUAGUGAUUCAACAAAUCUGCGCCAGUGCUCGACCAACGGCAUUUCUUCUUUGGGGAUCUCAAGCGAGGGGUGCCGAGUCCUAUAUUAGUGGAAAUCAUUACAUCAAGUCCGGAGGGCACCCAAGCCAAAGGUCGACUUCAUCACAGCCAUUCUAUGGAAGAAAUUACUUCCGCUGUGCAAAUCGGUUCCUGCGUCAGAAUGGACGUAGUGAGGUUGAUUGGCGGCUGCCUGAGAAUCGGCACUCAUCGGCGCCCGGAUGGGCGAGGUGUUAAAAAAGGCUGCCGCCAGUUUUCCUCUAUCUGGAUUAUCAUAACUUUAUAUACCAUAUUACCAAUGAUAACAAUAUAAUAAUCGUUCAAUAAAUUUAUACCAGCCUU